CUACGGGAGGCAGCAGUGGGGAAUAUUGGACAAUGGGCGAAAGCCUGAUGCAGCCAUGCCGCGUGUGUGAAGAAGGUCUUAGGAUUGUAAAGCACUUUAAGUUGGGAGGAAGGGCAGUAAGCUAAUACCUUGCUGUUUUGACGUUACCAACAGAAUAAGCACCGGCUAACUUCGUGCCAGCAGCCGCGGUAAUACGAAGGGUGCAAGCGUUAUUCGGAAUUACUGGGCGUAAAGCGCGCGUAGGUGGUUCGUUAAGUUGGAUGUGAAAGCCCCGGGCUCAACCUGGGAAUUGCAUCCAAAACUGUCUGACUAGAGUAUGGCAGAGGGUGGUGGAAUUUCAUGUGUAGCGGUGAAAUGCGUAGAUAUAGGAAGGAACACCAGUGGCGAAGGCGACCACCUGGGCUAAUACUGACACCUGAAGGUGCGAAAGCUUGGGGAGCAAACAGGAUUAGAUACCCUGGUAGUCC
rnacentral:rRNA from 1 species